GUUUUUUUUUAAUCUGAGAAAUUAGAGAGACCCGUUAUUCUAUGUAAUAGGUCUCUCGAAUUAAUUCUCCCAUAUAUGUAGGUAGCCAUAUUCCCAUUAAUUAAGUCCCAAACCCUAGAACCUUUUCAUUUUCUCUUGUCCUCCGCCGCUCUUCAUCACUCUCAUUUCAUUUCUAGUUUUCUUUCUCUCUCUUCUCCCUCCUCACAUCUCGAUCUAUCUUCCUCACUCCUCAACUCAUUUUUUUCUGUUUCUCAAGCGAAUCUCGCUCCAAAUAUAAAAAAUAAUUACUUCAUUCACUUCUUUCUCAAUCUGAAGAAGUUAUCUUCACUCUAUAGUUUCAAAAUUUCAAGAUCUUUGGCCAUGGUAACGAUCUCUCAAGUUUCAAGUUUGUACCGAAGAAAUUCGUAAUUGAAGAUCUGGGAAGUUUAGUCAUCAUUUUCGGAUUUUUUUUUAUGUAUUGAAUUUUCAUUCAUAUCUGUAUUAUGUACAUAAUUUUUGAGGUAUAUGAAAUACAAGAAUUAUUUUUUUA